rnacentral:rRNA from 1 species
AGAGUUUGAUCCUGGCUCAGGAUGAACGCUAGCGGGAGGCCUAACACAUGCAAGUCGAGGGGCAGCAUUUCUAGCUUGCUAGAAGAUGGCGACCGGCGCACGGGUGAGUAACGCGUAUGCAACCUACCUUAUACUGGGGGAUAGCCCAGAGAAAUCUGGAUUAAUACCGCAUAACAAUGUUUUAUCGCAUGGUAAGAUAUUUAAAACUCCGGUGGUAUAAGAUGGGCAUGCGUAGCAUUAGUUAGUUGGUGAGGUAACGGCUCACCAAGACAAUGAUGCUUAGGGGGUCUGAGAGGAUAGUCCCCCACACUGGUACUGAGACACGGACCAGACUCCUACGGGAGGCAGCAGUGAGGAAUAUUGGUCAAUGGACGCAAGUCUGAACCAGCCAUGUCGCGUGCAGGAUGACGGCCCUAUGGGUUGUAAACUGCUUUUUUACAGGAAUAAUUGCAGGUACGUGUACCUGCUUGAAUGUACUGUAUGAAUAAGAUCGCUAACU